rnacentral:rRNA from 1 species
CAGCAGCCGCGGUAAUACGAAGGGGGCUAGCGUUGCUCGGAAUUACUGGGCGUAAAGCGCACGUAGGCGGCUAUGUAAGUUAGAGGUGAAAGCCUGGAGCUCAACUCCAGAAUUGCCUUUAAGACUGCGUGGCUAGCAGGUGAGAGAGGUGAGUGGAAUUCCGAGUGUAGAGGUGAAAUGCGUAGAGAUCGGAAGGAACAUCUGUGGCGAAGGCGACUAUCUGGGCCAACACUGACACUGAGGCACGAAAGCGUGGGGAGCAAACAGGAUUAGAUACCCCCGUAGUCCCUGUCUCUUAUAC